rnacentral:snRNA from 1 species
GUGCUUGCUUCGGCAGCACAUAUACUAAAAUUGGAACGAUACAGAGAGGAUUAGCAUGGCCCCUGUGCAAGGAUGACAUGCAAAUUCGUGAAGCAUUCCACAUUAAA